rnacentral:tmRNA from 2 species
GGGGCUGAUUCUGGAUUCGACGGGAUUUGCGAAACCCAAGGUGCAUGCCGAGGGGCGGUUGGCCUCGUAAAAAGCCGCAAAAAAAUAGUCGCAAACGACGAAACCUACGCUUUAGCAGCUUAAUAACCUGCUUAGAGCCCUCUCUCCCUAGCCUCCGCUCUUAGGACGGGGAUCAAGAGAGGUCAAACCCAAAAGAGAUCGCGUGGAUGCCCUGCCUGGGGUUGAAGCGUUAAAACGAAUCAGGCUAGUCUGGUAGUGGCGUGUCCGUCCGCAGGUGCCAGGCGAAUGUAAAGACUGACUAAGCAUGUAGUACCGAGGAUGUAGGAAUUUCGGACGCGGGUUCAACU